GUUUUUUAUCUGCUUUUGGUU
rnacentral:sRNA from 1 species